ACACGUUCUCAAACGUGUCGGGUUGUCUUUCUUCUGUUCCGUGUCUCAGGUUUUAUUGUCGUUUUACGAUGUAUAUGGGCACUGCCGAAAAACGGUGAUGGACAAGUUGGAUAAACGGGCGUAUUCCAUACGUUCCUGACGUGUGCCAUACAUCAGGAUUUAAGCCACUCCCACUGUUCCUAAAGUUAAGUUGUAUAACCAGUGUGACCGAUCAUUAUACAUACGCCAUACACGUCUGAAGACAUGUUGUCAUACACGUUUGGAGCACGUGUAUAUAACCAGCGUGACUCCAGCCUAAGGUUAUAUAAAAAGCCGUACAUACAUAGUCAAGGUUUCUGCGGAAGCUUCGUCUUCCUCGGGACUCAUAUAUACGUACAUGCGUAUAUAAAUAGGUAACUGUAUAAAUAAGUAAUCAGAUUGUUGUUUCUUCUUACACGCAUCAACCUUGAAGAAUUGAGGAUUGGGUCUGCUCUUAUUUUGGAAACAGUAUGAGCGUAUACUUAUAUUCCUGUGACUCGGUAUCUAAAAAUGUCACCGCAAAGUGUUUUCAUCAAGCACUAAAGAAACCUGCUUCGAGUAAAAACCCCGAUAAUUUAACUGGUGCGCAUUUAAAAAAUUUGCAAUACAUUUCGCAUGAUCAAGAAACCACGUACAUUCGUCACCAGACUUAAUUAGCACCGGUAAAACUGGGAUAUUAAAGCGACACUGAACGAAACAAUACUGAAGCGUUAUAUUGAACAUCACUAUCCGAAUCACGAUUUUUCCCGCAUACAAGACACCACCGCGCAAUUUGCCACCGCUACAGGCAAAAGCUUUCCUGUAUGUCCGAUUGGGAGCGCUGAAGUCAUCAAAGGUUUAUCGUCCGCUCGGGGUCCAGAAACACGAGGAUCGCUGCUUUUACCACGUCGAUUCCACUGCCAUUUCUCACACACACAGUGUAAUUAUAUGCGGAGGGAAAUGAGGCGAAGACGUCACAAGCUUUAGGCACCCACGUGACCAAUUCUGUUGCGCUGCUUCCCUGCACAGUCAAAAGGCAAAAACGAACGUAUACGUCGAGCCAUUACGUACGAGAGAGGAGAAGAAAAAAAAACAAAAACGAUCGUGUAGAUGAAAACGAGCGUAGAUUAUGGAUACUCAACCGCGCGACUUUUGUAGACGAAGCGCGUGCGAUAACUUUUGUAUACACUAUAGCCUAGGAAGUCAAUGAGAGAAGUACCGGUAGUUAUCCCGAAAACAACGCAAACAUGAUUUUUUUUUUUCCCCUAGGGUUUUGCUCGUAUAUUUCACAGGGUCAGUAUUUAUUCCUCGUUUAACGGUACGCGAAAUAGUUUAAGGAACAUGUCAGAUACAUAUGCAAGGACGACGAAGGGAGUGCUUCACUUGGCUUGUUGUUGUUGUUGUUGUUGUUUUUUCCUUCUUUAGUUUAAUUUUGUCACUUGUGUAAAAAGCAGUUCCGCCGAUAUGUUAGUCAUGCUGAUCGACGAGACACUGUGGUGUUCCAAAGGGGAAAAUUCGGCUGUCCGGUGAAAGUAUCCGAAGCAGCACAGCAUAUAUUGGCAACAAUAUUGGCUGCAUAUCGGCAAUACUGAUCCAGUACUGGUGCAGUAUUUGACGAGUAUUGUUUUUAUUGUAUUUAUCCAAUAUUAUGGCGAAACAUUUUCUGCAGUUGGGUGGACUAAAGGGAAAGUCUCUGCUGGGUGUCGCCGCUAUUUCCAACAGAGACUGUUCAGACCAGCAAAAGAACAGAUCCUGCUCGAAAUAUUCCCGGCUCGCAGCCUCAUGCUUCUGCUUCAAUUGUAAGUUUCAGCUGGGUACUCAAGAAAGGUAGCGUGUUCGUACUCCGCUCGUGCCGAAAGUAACUUUUUAGCGCGUGCACCGUACGAGCACGUUGUUUAGUUGCGUACGCAAGGCGACUGUGUUAGCUACAACUAAACAUGCGUAUAGUUAAAGCUCCAGAGCCCCACAGCUGGCAGAUCCCAAUCUGCUAAUGUUUUGCACAAGCGAUUCCUUCAAACUGACGUGGUAUAGUGGAACGCUGAACGAUGAGGUUCCAGACUGAUUGGUACAGUUUGACCUUUCAGGCACGUGAUCUCGCACUAAUUUCUGAUAGCUAAAAGAGAUGCUUUGAAACAUGGUUAUUGAAUAGAGAUAACGAUAACGUCGUAGGGGAAAGAGAGAACAAACCUUUAGAGGAGUGUCUGUCUCUCGGCGGAACUGACUUCUGCACAAGAACGAUCAUAUUUUUUCAUAGGCUAAUUACCGCGACCGAUUCACCUUUAUUUUUUUUAUUUUUUUUCAUCAGUGGAAUGACGUUUUGCAGUUUUCAUAGAUGCCAUACACACACGUUAUACAUAGACCAACAGAUAUAUGCAACAGUUAACGAGAGAUGAUGUCCUUCAAAGUAUUGCGCACCAUGUAAUCGUCGUUAUGCUUAUUAACGCAUUAACGAAUUAACGAGGACGUUUCUCAUGUAAUAGUGAUGUUUUCUAAUAUAUUCUUUAGUUGCAUGCGUUUGUACUUUGGCCGCUUUCUGUUCCCAAAGGCCUCUAAGAAACGCAUUUGCUUUUUUCUUCCUUCUUUUUUCUUUUUUCUUUGUUAUCUGUCUGCGUGAAGAUGUGUAAGGAUCGUCGACUAGAUUAAAUAUAAGGGCCGAAUUCCGUUGCAGAUUCCCUACACAGACAAAUUGUCGAGGCAUGAACGGUAAUUCGGUAAUUAACACUAAGCUCCUUUAUAUAUUUUUUUAUUUUCCUCACUGCUAGUUGACGUACUCUAUAGUGCUGUGCUGUUUAUUUUCUUCUUCUUUCUUUUUUUUUUUUUUAAACGUUGGCUAUCCUAACCUAAACUCUGUUUGAUACAGUACUGUUGGACACCAGCCUGCAGAUAAUGUUUUAUACUGUUUGAGAGAGGGAGAAAGCCGUUGGAACGCAGAGCAAAUUACACGAAUGAAAUGCUCCUAACGUCAGCAAGGUGUGAGCCCACACGAAUUUCGGUAACAUGUAUCAGCCAGCACAACAGGAUAUCGAGUGUAAUUGGCUUUCUCGGUCCAUUUUAUUGUUUUUCAGGUCAUUGAAGGGGCUCUGACACUUCGGUGCGUGCGGUUUUUCAUAUCGUAGAAGUUUUGUACUGCAUGUCAGAAGAUCGAGGAAAGACUAAUUAUUUAUUCUAAGUGUCGUACCUGGCGACAUACAAAACCUCGAAGACCCGUACACGUCCAACUGUCACGUCAGAGGAGAAAGAGCUACCGCCUUUCCCAUUUGUACUCGUAAGCACGUCAUCUCUCCCGCGGUGUCUCAGUGGUGGAGACGCCUCAUGUGGUUAAGGGCCCGAUGACUUUCGGUCAUGGAUGAAGGAAUAAGAGGAGAGAGAGAGUGAAGCGGUCAAACUGGACACGGACGCACAGAAACGACGGGAGACAGGUGCUGCUUCCAACAACUUGAUUACAAACAACUUUCACAAGUAUACACAGAUGUAUCGUCAGGACAAAAAAAAAGUGAUCAUAUGGAAUGAAUGUUAUGAAAUAAGCGGAGGAACUUCGAGAGGAGAAAAGAGCGUGGGAAAAGUGACGUAUGAAUAUUAAUAUCAAUUUCAUCCCCGCACAGUGGAUGUGUUUUGGCUUUGUUCCAGCCCUGCAAAAGUUACGCCUGAGACCCAAGCAGCACAAUGUACUGAAAGUAGAGUGCACUAGAGGUGGGCGGUAUGUGUCUUAUCAAUGUUCUUUAGUUUCACGCGUCUGUUCAAGGCCUUCCACCUACCCGCCCACCUCUAUUGCACUUGACUUUCAGUACAUUGUGCUGCUUCGGGAAAACCUCAACGAGAGAGCUAGCUGAGAGAGUCAGAAAGCCGUUACGCUGAGAAAGCCCACGAGUCUCCUCUGCAGCUUGCACGCGGUACUUUGACAUGCUAGGAUCGCACCUACAUAGACAUUCCGAAAAGAUGCUAUACCAGCAACCAGAGGCAACUCAGAAUAAACGACCAUUCUGAAUGAUAUUGUCAUCUUUCCUGACUUGUUGAAAAUAGGAACGUGUACGUGUUUUUGCAGAAAUACUGAUACGUGUGUAUUAGUUUAGAUAAAGGAACCAGUACACUUCCGCUUUUAAUCGGAAUCAGCUCAUCCUGCUCCGCCCUCACUGCAAGCCUCCGAGUCUCCACCAGGGAGGCAACGCGGGAGAAGACACGUGCUUGCGAGAACCAAUGGGAGUGGCCGCUGGCAUUUCGUACCGCGCGUGUUAUGCGGUGCAGUUCUGUGCAGAGAGUAUUGUAACCAAGUGUCGUAACCCCUUUAAGAUCAUCAUCACGUGGUAUCGCUAUAUUUGUGAAUUUUGGAGCAGACUAAAACAAACCGUUGCUUUUUGUGCACAAGCGAGAAUUUCUGUGAAUUUCAUUUUUCUCUCGUUUGUCUCUAUUUUGAUGUAACCUGGAGCCGUGUAAAAUAAGAAACUGUGACUGCACCGCACACGUACAUUGUUGCCACAUGGAAUGAAGAAGAUGUUUAUGCAUGUGUGGGUUUGACUUUGUCGUGACUCUUAAGCUCCUUAAGUUUGUACUGCAAAAAAUGCGCCGUUGUUGAAUGUGAAUAAACAGGUGCUCGCGCUGAA